rnacentral:rRNA from 1 species
GAUGAACGCUGGCGGCGUGCCUAAUACAUGCAAGUCGAGCGAACAGACGAGGAGCUUGCUCCUCUGACGUUAGCGGCGGACGGGUGAGUAACACGUGGAUAACCUACCUAUAAGACUGGGAUAACUUCGGGAAACCGGAGCUAAUACCGGAUAAUAUAUUGAACCGCAUGGUUCAAUAGUGAAAGACGGUUUUGCUGUCACUUAUAGAUGGAUCCGCGCUGCAUUAGCUAGUUGGUAAGGUAACGGCUUACCAAGGCAACGAUGCGUAGCCGACCUGAGAGGGUGAUCGGCCAAACUGGAACUGAGACACGGUCCAGACCACUACGGGAGGCAGCAGUAGGGAAUCUUCCGCAAUGGGCGAAAGCCUGACGGAGCAACGCCGCGUGAGUGAUGAAGGUCUUCGGAUCGUAAAACUCUGUUAUUAGGGAAGAACAAAUGUGUAAGUAACUAUGCACGUCUUGACGGUACCUAAGCAGAAAGCCACGGCUAACUACGUG